rnacentral:rRNA from 1 species
AUUGAACGCUGGCGGCAGGCCUAACACAUGCAAGUCGAACGAGUGGCGGACGGGUGAGUAAUGUCUGGGAAACUGCCUGAUGGAGGGGGAUAAAUACUGGAAACGGUAGCUAAUACCGCAUACAAUCAGAUGUGCCCGAAUGGGAUUAGCUUGUUGGUGGGGUAACGGCUCACCAAGGCGACGAUCCCUAGCGGUUCUGAGAGGAUGACCAGCCACACGGGAACGGCGACACGGCCCAGACUCCUACGGGAGGCAGCAGUGGGGAAUAUUGCACAAUGGGCGCAAUCCUGAUGCAGCCAUGCCGCGUGUAUGAAGAAGGCCUUCGGGUUGUAAAGUACUUUCAGUGGGGAGGCGUUACCCGCAGAAGAAGCACCGGCUAACUCCGUGCCAGCAGCCGCGGUAAUUC